AACAGACAUAUGCAAAGGGGCAGACCUCUGGGCAGUCCUGGGUUAAGCUAGAGCCACCAUUGGCACAGGGAAAACAUGGACAAUGAUUGGUAGAUGUGAGAACUGAGGGGAGGGAACUUAGAUGGUUUCCUUAAAGAUAGCGAGGUCAGAGGACUAGGGGGUGGAGAGGUUUUACUCUGAGAGGUUGUGCUCUGAGAAGUUUUGCUCUGAAGGAGUCUGAGAGGAGAGAGGUCCUGGAGGGAGAGCUCCUGGAGAGGUCUGAGAGGAGGGCUUGCUCUGAAGGAGGCUGGAGGUGGAGGCCCCUGAGACUAUUUCUCCAUUUUGGUCACAUGUGUGCCACAGAAGGUAAUAGAGCGAAGGCAUAAAAAUCAGAACCAAUGAUGACAACAAGCUAUGGAUAUGAGAUAAUCAAGUCAAGAACCUGCCUGGAAAGGGACAGUCAGAGGACAGUGGACAGAGAAGUAAUUUGCAGAUAUUUAUGCAAAAACCAAUAGGUAUCAUAGAGGUGCUGGAUUUGAGGAAGCCCAUGGAAGUAAGGAGGCCAAGACUUAUGAAAGAAAGAAGAAAAGCCCCAGGCUUAAAACAGUAUCAGUGGAAGAAGAGAAGCCAAGGAUUUCAGAUGGGAUGGAAUUUGAAGGUCAUUGGGCAGGCAGAAAAACAUCUGGUGGAGAAAACUAAUCUCCUCUGAGCAGAGCCUGCAGGGGCCAUCAUGUCAAGCUGACCAGCAUUUAGUGGAGUAUCUCCCAUCUGAAUAGUUCCCAGCAGAGGAAUAGCCAAUUGGACAGUGUGCAAGAGAGAAGUGACCAUCUGAGCAGUACUGAAAGGAUAUCAUGAGAUUGGCAGGAAGAAGACUUGUCACAUUAGCUCAUUGCCAUCACUAGGAGUCAUGGGGGGGGGGUGUCUGUGGCCUCAGAAGUGCUCAUAUCUUUUUCCUUAGAUGUUUUCCAGCCACUGAUGCUUCUUGAUUCUAUACUCCUUCAAGCAUAGCUUCUCUUCUCACUGAUUCGGUGUAAAUUUCAUGAAAUACCUUGAC
rnacentral:lncRNA from 1 species